rnacentral:rRNA from 1 species
UACGGAGGGGGCUAGCGUUGUUCGGAAUUACUGGGCGUAAAGCGCGCGUAGGCGGCUUUGUAAGUUAGAGGUGAAAGCCCAGAGCUUAACUCUGGAAUUGCCUUUAAGACUGCAUCGCUAGAAUCGUGGAGAGGUAAGUGGAAUUCCGAGUGUAGAGGUGAAAUUCGUAGAUAUUCGGAAGAACACCAGUGGCGAAGGCGACUUACUGGACACGUAUUGACGCUGAGGUGCGAAAGCGUGGGGAGCAAACGGG